rnacentral:rRNA from 1 species
UGGGGGAUAUUGCACAAUGGGCGAAAGCCUGAUGCAGCGACGCCGCGUGGGGGAUGAAGGCCUUCGGGUUGUAAACUUCUUUUGCUCUGAACAAGGCGCACCAUGGGGUGUGUUGAGUGUAGGGGUUGAUUAGCGCCGGCUAACUACGUGCCAGCAGCCGCGGUAAUACGUAGGGCGCGAGCGUUGUCCGGAAUUAUUGGGCGUAAAGGGCUUGUAGGUGGCCGGUUGCGUCUGUCGUGAAAGCUCAUGGCUUAACUGUGGGUUUGCGGUGGGUACGGGCUGGCUUGAGUGCAGUAGGGGAGGCUGGAAUUCCUGGUGUAGCGGUGGAAUGCGCAGAUAUCAGGAGGAAUACCGGUGGCGAAGGCGGGUCUCUGGGCUGUUACUGACACUGAGGAGCGAAAGCAUGGGGAGCGAACAGG